GACGAUCGCUGGCGGCGUGCUUAACACAUGCAAGUCGAACGGAAAGGCCCUGCUUUUUUGUUUUGCUCGAGUGGCGAACGGGUUAGUAACACGUGAGUAACCUGCCCUUGACUUUGGGAUAACUUCAGGAAACUGGGGCUAAUACCGGAUAGGAGCUCCUGCUGCAUGGUGGGGGUUGGAAAGUUUCGGCGGUUGGGGAUGGACUCGCGGCUUAUCAGCUUGUUGGUGGGGUAGUGGCUUACCAAGGCUUUGACGGGUAGCCGGCCUGAGAGGGUGACCGGCCACAUUGGGACUGAGAUACGGCCCAGACUCCUACGGGAGGCAGCAGUGGGGAAUAUUGCACAAUGGGCGGAAGCCUGAUGCAGCAACGCCGCGUGCGGGAUGACGGCCUUCGGGUUGUAAACCGCUUUCGCCUGUGACGAAGCGUGAGUGACGGUAAUGGGUAGAGAAGCACCGGCUAACUACGUG
rnacentral:rRNA from 1 species